rnacentral:rRNA from 1 species
CCUACGGGAGGCUGCAGUAAGGAAUAUUGGUCAAUGGGCGGAAGCCUGAACCAGCCAUGCCGCGUGCAGGAAGACGGCCUACGGGUUGUAAACUGCUUUUGCAGGGGAAUAUGUACUCUGAGAAUAAGGAUCGGCUAACUCCGUGCCAGCAGCCGCGGUAAUACGGAGGAUCCAAGCGUUAUCCGGAUUUAUUGGGUUUAAAGGGUGCGUAGGUGGCUUGUUAAGUCAGGGGUGAAAGACGGUAGCUUAACUAUCGCAGUGCCCUUGAUACUGAUGAGCUUGAAUUAACUAGAGGUAGGCGGAAUGUGACAAGUAGCGGUGAAAUGCAUAGAUAUGUCACAGAACACCAAUUGCGAAGGCAGCUUACUAUGGUAAUUGACACUGAGGCACGAAAGCGUGGGGAUCAAACAGGAUUAGAUACCCUUGUAGUC